UCUGCGUGGAUGUGUGUGCGACGCGUCCUCGUUGGCCGGUCGUCGCCGCCGCAUUUCCAAUGCGGUGAUACUCGCGCGCAUCGACCGCACCGGAUUUAUAAUAACGCCGGCAGAGAAACCGGUGAUCGGCUGGAACCGGUUGUAGGAGGCAGUCCGAUAUUCGCGCGCGAACAAACGUGAACUUCGCCGCUAUAAAUAGAUCGGUCCAUGGAUUCGUGAAAAUCCGACGUGCAAUUACGUAAUCCUGCGAAAAGCCGAACGGGACGGUUAUCGAACGGGGUAGAGCUGUGCGACGAUUGCAUCGGGAAAACGAGAAUGGCAUCGAGGAUUCCAUAUGAUUGACGCGCGGCGACAAACGCUCGGGGGAUCGUGGCGAUAGAACGCGGUGGGCACCGAUGGAUUGCGUUCUCGUCGUCGUCGACCAUGCGGAAUUCGCGCAAGUUUCGACGUUGCCAGACCUGCUGCUAGGUGUGCUAGUACGUCGAAAGUGGCGCGUUGCUACGCGAUCGUAGAUACACCGUGCUCAACAGGAAUGGACGCGGACACGCCGCGGCCACGUCGUCGCGUUUCCACCGCGCCGUUAUCGACCAUGUCCGGCCGUUUGGCAAACGCAGCGAAAUCGACGCCGGCUGCUCUCCGAAUGAAACGCUAUACUCCCUUAUCUUACUUGCCAUCUAGUACGCACACCGCCAUGAUUUUCAUAAACAGAAGCUGCGGAUUAAUUAUAACAGUUUCAUAAUACGCUCCGUGUUAUACGCGUACCAAUGUUUCUCGCCUUUGGUCUGCAUCGUGGCACAGCAUUUUUAAUUACAAAGUCGCGUGCAUACUUUCGUUGCAACGCACCACCACGACGAUCGGCGUAUCGCGCGCAGAUGCUCGUUGUCCGAUAAGCGGCCAACUUCGGCAUAGUCGCAGGUAUUUCCAACGCGAGGAAAGGCAGGAUCAUAGCGGUUGAAUAGAAUUUGCGAUACGGGAAACGAAGAACACGAAAAAACGAUUUGACAUUACAAGAUGUAUGAUUUACGUCGGAGGAGAAAAAAAAAAAAAAA